rnacentral:tmRNA from 1 species
CCCCUUUCGAAAAGGCCCCGGAAUGCUUAUAUUUAGCUUGUCGGCUUCGGCCGUCUACGGCGCUAAACGGGCUUAUGGAAUAAGCGUUGCGGACCCGGGGGCAGUACCCGGCGCCUCCACCACAAGCGCAAAGCACCGAAUCGGGCUGGAUUCGGGCGCUUCUGAUGGGGGCGAAACAGGAUCGACGCGCGUGGUAAAGGUAAGGUCGGCGCUCGGCAUGGUACCACCGUUAUCGGGCCAAAAGCACAAGUGCCAAUGACAAUGAAAUGGCGCUCGCUGCCUAAUCUAGCCAGGUAAGCGCGGCUCGGGGGGCGCCGGGCAACAGAAGCUCCCCACC